UGGGGAAUAUUGGGCAAUGGGCGCAAGCCUGACCCAGCAACGCCGCGUGAAGGAAGAAGGCUUUCGGGUUGUAAACUUCUUUUAUCAGGGACGAUAAUGACGGUACCUGAUGAAUAAGCUCCGGCUAACUACGUGCCAGCAGCCGCGGUAAUACGUAGGGAGCAAGCGUUAUCCGGAUUUACUGGGUGUAAAGGGCGUGUAGGCGGGACUGCAAGUCAGAUGUGAAAAGCCCGGGGCUCAACCCCGGGACUGCAUUUGAAACUGUGAAGCUGGAGUGUCGGAGAGGUAAGUGGAAUUCCUAGUGUAGCGGUGAAAUGCGUAGAUAUUAGGAAGAACACCAGUGGCGAAGGCGGCUUACUGGACGAUUACUGACGCUGAGGCUCGAAAGCGUGGGGAGCAAACAGGAUUAGAUACCCUGGUAGU
rnacentral:rRNA from 1 species